rnacentral:rRNA from 1 species
AUUGAACGCUGGCGGCAUGCCUUACACAUGCAAGUCGAACGGCAGCACGGGCUUCGGCCUGGUGGCGAGUGGCGAACGGGUGAGUAAUACAUCGGAACGUGCCCUGUCGUGGGGGAUAACUAGUCGAAAGAUUAGCUAAUACCGCAUACGACCUGAGGGUGAAAGCGGGGGACCGGUAACGGCCUCGCGCGAUAGGAGCGGCCGAUGUCUGAGUAGCGAGGUGGUGGGGUAAGAGCCCACCAAGGCGACGAUCAGUAGCUGGUCUGAGAGGACGAUCAGCCACACUGGGACGUAGACACGGCCCAGACUCCUACGGGAGGCAGCAGUGGGGAAUUUUGGACAAUUGGGGCGACCCUGAUCCAGCAAUGCCGCGUGUGUGAAGAAGGCCUUCGGGUUGUAAAGCACUUUUGUCCGGAAAGAAAUCGCGCUGGUUAAUACCUGGCGUGGAUGACGGUACCGGAAGAAUAAGCACCGGCUAACUACGUGCCAGCCGCCGCCGUAACAC